UCUGGCCCUUGAGGCAUUGCAGGUGUGGCUGCUAGGUCACAUGUUUGUCAUUAUGUAGCAGAGUGGAGAGACACUAUGACUAUGUUCAGUGUUCUGAGCUAAGAACAUCUGAAUGAUCCCUAACCUAACAUU